rnacentral:rRNA from 1 species
AUAAAUGGAUCUAGCUAAGCCCCAGAACAUUGACUAAAAUCGUGCCAGCCGUCGCGGUUAGACGAAGAAUGUAAAUGAAGAAUAUAAUUAAAGUUAUAAUAUUUUUUAAUGCACGUAAAACCUUAAAAGAUUAUUUUAAGGGUGAAAUCUAGUAAAUAAUUCUCAUAGUUUAAAGUAUAGUUAAUUAUAUAAUAAAGUAAGCCAAAAAACCAGGAUUAGAUACCCUGUUAUUCUUAAAGAUAUAAUUAGGGUAGUAAAAGUCAUUUCUUCAAACCCAAAGAUUUUGGCGGCAUUUUGUCCGAACAGAGGAGCUUGUUUCGUAAUUGAUAAUCCUCAAUACACCUUACCUUUUUUAUUCAGUUUAUAUACCUCCGUUGUCAGAUUACUCUAUAAAGACGUUUUCAAUAAAUAUAAUUUUUCUACUUCAGGUCAAGGUGUAGCUUAUAAAAAGGAGAAAAUUAGCUACAAUUUAAAAUAAAACUCGGAUUGUUUGUUAAACCAAUAAUGAAGAUGGAUUU